CUGUAUUACAAACCACAUUAUCCCCUUACAGAAUAAACACCAUGAGAGACUGAAAGCCAUCCACUACAGGACCUUCCCAUGAAGCCUAGUAGGGGACAAGUCAUUCCCUUCUGUUAAAGAAUGCAGAGCAUCCCCAUGUCUACUAGUAUAGAAGAUCUAUUAAGUAUAAUAAGGGACUUUUAUCUGGAAGAGAUCUGGAAUGUACAGAUUGCCAAAGUAGUAGCCGGCAGUGCCAGCCAUGACAUGGGUCCCUUGGCUUGUAUAUCUUAUAUCUCGAAUCCAGCCACCAGUUCCUGUGGUAGCACCACUGAAAGGAGCAACACCAUUGGGGAAAUAAGGUGCCUCGUACCAGCAUCAAAGUGUCUGCUUGUUCUGGAAGGCUGUACCAGCUGAAGGAAAGUUCUGGCUGGUCCUACCAAGUGUGAGAGUCAGGAUCUCAGAGUUCUCUACCCAGAGAAACACCAGAUGUCAACAGAAGAAGCUGGGAUGCGGCUGAGCUGUCUCACCUUCACUGAGCAACCAACCACCAGUGAUCUCAGGAAACAAAGGUCCCAGAUCAUUCUUAGAAAGGAAGUUGGGUAAUAAAUUUAGGGUCACAUAUGGAUGCUGUGUCCUGGCUCUGGAUGUCAUCCCUUGUAGAUGAAAUCUGGGAUACAGUGUGGGCCAUCUGGCCUAUUGUGAAUCAGGUUCUGUCUACUUUCUGUGGAGCAAGCUAGGACAACCAUUACUAUUUUUAUGCGAUCACCUGCAGCAACAGCAUCAGAAUUUGGGAGCAAUUUCUCUGCUUUCAGGCUAUGUUGUUAAUGGCUAAAUGAAGGGGAUGUGACUGAAUGUGGGCCAGAUGUAUGCACUCUGUGUAGGCAGUCUGCACAAUUUAGGAUAGCAGGUCUAUUUUUUCUUUCUUAAAAUGGGGAUUUAGGGAUUAAUUAAUUGGAUGAAGUAUCUUUAUUCCACUUCACAAAGUUCAUAUACACAUA